UUUGACGAGUGACCAUUUGUGGGGUCCAUGACCAGAACAUAUAUUCAGUUCUGGGGUACUUUGUCAAAAGUGGGGUAUACCCCACUUUUAAAAUUAAUAUGGAUGCUUGUCAGUGCGUUCUGGGGUAUAAUGAAAGUUUUUGGCUAACCCCACAUUUGUUGUGUCCAUAAAUGUGCACAAAACCUAUAGACAUAAUAUGCCUAAGACAAACCGUGCAAUAACAUUGUUUAAAAGUAAAUAGCGCCAUCUAUUGGUGGAUUGAUGUUGGGCGCGGCACUGGUAUUAUGUAUGUACAUUAGUAAACGAUACUCGCGGGUGCCGAUCUCCAGCGACAUGUGAUAUCAUGUGAUCUCUAUUUCGCGCGCGUCGUAGGUGGAUAUCGGUUACCAAUGCUGCACCGUCGCACGUUAUACACUGCGCCGUGGACCAGGCAAUAACCCCGCACGCAGCCGGCCACGCGUGCACUACAUGUAUGUAGUUGCAGCACGUCGAUCUUGUAUACGCUGUGGAAAGGAUUUUCAAAAUCGAAGAACGACAAAUUAAAAGCACUGAACAAUGGGGAAAACGCCUACUCAGGUGUUGUUCAAAGAAGGGGAUCUAGUACUAGUGAAGUACUACCAGUCCGUGUGGUGGCCAGCAUACGUAAAGAGACCCACUAUAAAACAAGGAAACACAUUCAAAACUGUGUGCGGGUUUUGGGAGGAGCAGGACUUUCCUCUCAAAAUCUGCAUCCAAGUAUCUCCUCAAGUACAACGCAGAUAUUGAGAGGGCUAAAAAAGUUCAGGCCAAGGAAAUAGGAGACAAGGUCAGGAACUCAGGUGGCCGUUCAGUGAUCCCGGAUGGUUCUAAAGAACAAAAGCCAAUCUCAGGUGGCCAGUCAGUGAUCCCAGAUGGUUCUGAAGAAGAAAAUCCAAUCUCAGGUGGCCAGGCAUUGA